rnacentral:misc_RNA from 1 species
UACGGAGGAUCCAAGCGUUAUCCGGAAUCAUUGGGUUUAAAGGGUCCGUAGGCGGGUCAAUCAGUCAGUGGUGAAAGUCUGUGGCUCAACCAUAGAAUUGCCAUUGGUGCUGUUGUCCUUGAGUUAUUGUGAAGUGGUUGGAAUAUGUAGUGUAGCGGUGAAAUGCAUAGAUAUUACAUAGAACACCGAUUGCGAAGGCAGAUCACUAAUAAUGUACUGACGCUGAGGGACGAAAGCGUAGGUAGCAAACAGG